AAAUUUUACAUUUAAUUUUAUAAAAGUAUUUAAUUUAUUUUUAAAUAAGAUAUGUUAAAAAUUA
rnacentral:tRNA from 1 species